UAUAUAGCUCUUUUAAUGUUUUUUUUUUUUUCUAUUGUAAGUUGAAUUAUAUACGUAAGGCCUUUUGCCAUAUCCUUAGAUUCCUUUGCAAAUGAAGAUUUCCUUCACAGGUGUUUAACACCUUAUUUAAUUCAGGAUUUAAAGUGAGUAAUUCCCAUCACUUAUAUUUCAUUCUCUGUGUUCAGUCUGGGGUUCCUUUACCUUUGAAGCCAUUGCUUCUUUUUUCCCCCCCAGUUUAAAUUUUUUUUUAAUGUUUAUGUAUUUUUGAGAGAGAGAGAGAGGGCCCGCGAGCGCAGGGGAAGGGCAGAGAGAGGGAGACACAGAAUCCAAAGCAGUCUGCAGACUCUCAGCUGUCAGCGCAGAGCCCGACAUGGGGCUCGAACUUGUGAACCGUGAGAUCAUGACCUGAGCCAAGGUCGGACGCCUAACCAAUUGAGCCACGCAGGCGCCCCUCUUGUCCCCCCAGUUUAUAUCUCAUAGGCAAUCUCAGGGAAAUAGAAGUUUUAUUUUCUUUAAUGUUUAUUUUUAUUUUAGAGAGAGAGAGACAAGAGUACAAGCAGGGGAGGAGCAGAGAGAGGGAGACACAGACUCUGAAGCAGGCUCCAGGCUGUGAGCUGUUAGCACAGAGCCGGACACGAGGCUCAAACCCACCAACUGUGAGAUUAUGACCUGAGCUGAAGUCAGAUACUUAACCGAGCCACCCACCCGAAAAGUUUUAUUUUGACAUAAAGUGUAGAGAAAAGGAAUCUUCAACCCGUGUUUUUUUUUUCCAGUCAUGUAAUAAUUCAGUCUUAAUCUUCAAAAGAAUAAUUAUCUCAGAUAUUUAUAAACUCAUUGUUCUACUCACAUAGAAGCUUACUUCUCAGAUGCAGUUAGUCUCAGUAUUCGAGGAUAUUUCCUCUUGCAAUGAAGAAAGGAGUGGUGAAAUGCGAAAGCAAGUUCAUUUAGUGAUAAAAGGAACAUGUAGACAUUGUUCUAGAGUCGAGACGCACCAUCAGCCAUUGAAACUGCAACACGUAUGGUUAUCAUCUGUGUUCAGAAUGAUGACCCUGGCUGGGAACACAGUGAAUGAUUAUAAAAUAAAUCCUGUUCCACAUACUUUAUUAAGUUAUUUUUGGAUUAUUUUCAACAGCAUAUGAAACAGGAUUUUCUGAAUAGACUUGUCUUGAACGUGCCUGGAUGAAAACUAUAAUUUUCUUCAUACCCCUUUGUGUGGUUAUGUGCUUUUUGUAACGGGGACUUGCUUGAAAGAUUAGAAUAAUGUAAUCCAUGUGCCAACUCUCUCUGGAUGACAAAGGAGUGACUUUUUAAUUCAGUUGAUUUAGAUUCUGCUCAUUUGGGGAAGUUACUAUGCCAUUUUAGGGAAAUAACCGUACAGGAUUAAAAUAGUGAGGAUAUAAACAUGUGAGGUGAAUUGUAUGGUAUGUAAAUUAUAUCUCAAUUAAGCUGUUAAUUAAAAUAAGCUUAAGAAGUGGAAAUCCAGGCAAAGGGGAAGCAUAGCAUUUGUGUAUAUUUGUUUCUCAGAGGUUUAUUGCCAGGCAUUUAAAAGUCAGUGCUUGUUUAGAAGUAACUGUAUUCGAAAAAGAAGUAUUUUUUAAUGUGCUUUCCCUGGGGUGGUUCUUCGUGGCUUUCCAGUAUUAUUUUAUACACAGCCGCUUAAUGAUUAAUCUUUGAGCCAAUUCUGGAUCUGAAUGCAGUGACAAGAUGUCCUCAGGUGAUUUUAUCAUUGUUUCUGUGGGAGACACAGUAGAGAACAGGUAAUUAGAAAUAAGUAGAGAGUAGAAAUGGUAAGAGGCGAUGAGAAGAGGAGGAGAAAUUUUAAAAAAAUCUAUGUUAUUUUUUUUAGCUAAAGUUAGUGUUCCCGGCCAGUGAGUCUCGACAGAGACUCCUGUGGAGCUACAUACGGACAGAAGUUUGUGGAAGAAUUAUGCGUUGUUCUGUUUCAGAGUGGCAGCUCCUAAAUCAUUGCUCAAACUACUUUUUGCUUCUUCCUCUGUUUUCCUUUGUUAGUACCAAUUCCGAUGGUAAAAUAUUUUAGUAAUUCCUGUUGUUAAAUAUCAGUCUUCUGAACAGUUCUUUGAGCAUUGCCCAGCACAUGAUGUGACUUACCCGGGUACUCUUAGUUCUGUUGUAAUAUUAAAUUGCAUUUUUAUGUCUCAUCUGCUAGGCAUGGCAUGUCACAUAUAGAUGCAACAAUUGAAGGAACUUCGGACGACAUGACUGUUGUAGAUGCGGCUUCGUUGAGACGGCAGAUAAUCAAACUAAAUAGACGUCUACAGCUUCUAGAAGAGGAGAACAAAGAGCGCGCGAAGAGAGAAAUGGUCAUGUAUUCGAUUACUGUGGCGUUCUGGCUGCUUAACAGCUGGCUCUGGUUUCGCCGCUAGAGGUAACCUCGGCUCUGGAAAAUUCUGUCUCAACAGCUGGAAACAUAAAGAACUUGCAAACUUC